rnacentral:rRNA from 1 species
UACGGAGGGUGCAAGCGUUAUCCGGAAUCACUGGGCGUAAAGGGCGCGUAGGCGGCCUGUUAAGUCCGAUGUUAAAGACUGGGGCUCGACCCCAGCAUUGCGUUGGAUACUGGCAGUCUUGACGGUUGGAGAGGCGAGUGGAAUUACCAGUGUAGCGGUGAAAUGCGUAGAUACUGGUAGGAACACCCAUUGCGAAGGCAGCUCGCUGGACAACACGUGACGCUGAGGCGCGAAAGUGUGGGGAGCAAACCGGAUUAGAUACCCGGGUAGU